GACGUAGGAGGCGAGCGUUGUCCGGAGUUACUGGGCGUAAAGCGCGCGCAGGCGGUCACGCAGGUCAUCUGUGAAAAGCACUCGGCUCAACCGGGAUGUUGCGGGUGAAACCGCGUGACUUGAGGGUGGGAGAGGUCGGUGGAAUUCCCGGUGUAGUGGUGAAAUGCGUAGAGAUCGGGAGGAACACCCGUAGCGAAGGCGGCCGACUGGACCACACCUGACGCUGAGGCGCGAAGGCCAGGGGAGCGAACGGG
rnacentral:rRNA from 1 species